rnacentral:misc_RNA from 1 species
GAUGAAGAACGUAGCGAAAUGCGAUACGUAAUGUGAAUUGCAGAUUUCAGUGAAUCAUCGAAUCUUUGAACGCACAUUGCGCCCGCUAGUAUUCUGGCGGGCAUGCCUGUUCGAGCGUCAUUUCAACCAUCAAGCCCUAGGCUUGCGUUGGAGCCCUGCGGCUGCCGCAGGCUCCCAAAUCCAGUGGCGGGCUCGUCGUCGUACCGAGUGCAGUAAACAUCCUCGCUCAGGGAACGUGACGGGUUCUUGCCGUGAAACCCCCCACAUAUCAAGGUUGACCUCGGAUCAGGUAGGAAUACCCGCUGAACUUAAGCAUAUCAAUAGCGGAGGA